GUGUUGAUAUCAAGUCUGAGAGAGAUUGUUAUAUAAACCUGGCUAAAAACUGUAAAUACUUGAAGAAAAUAUUUUUGACAGCAAACAGAACUGUGCGAGAUAUUGACUUGCGUAUGAUUGCUUUGCAUUGUCCACUCUUAGAGCAGUUGGAUAUAUUGGGGACUAGAGAAGUGACAAGAGAAGCCAUUGUUUUUGUCCUUGAAUCCUGUAGAAAUUUGAUUUUACUGGAUGUUUCAUUUUGCUUGGGAAUUUCCUCUUCCGACGUCUGCUCCUGGAGAGCUGCCUUUCCAUUGGUCACCAUAAAAAAGAGUUUUCAGAAUGUAUCUGUAACAUAGUUUGAAAUUUCUGCACAAGCCACAAUAUUGCCACGCAGAGUAAUGGGCAUUUUAUUUGAUUACAGAAUAAAAAUUGCAGUGAGUGUUACACAUUUGAUUGUUAGUCUUCAAACAGUAGGACAUUACUGUAAUUAAAUUAUUUUCAAUUGUACAUUUAUGUGUGUAUGUGUAAGCAUGAGAAUGCUGGAAAUCUUGCAAAAUUAGAUUUUGUAAUAAUUAUAACA
rnacentral:sRNA from 1 species